rnacentral:lncRNA from 1 species
AUGUUUUCAAUCACAGGAACAAUUGUUUGUUUUGAAACAGUAACACUAGAGUUUCCUGAAAACUCCUCUUGCUUUCAUAGGACUGCCCUCCACUUGGACUGUGCCAAUGGCCAUUCAGCGGUGGUCACUCUGCUCCGGGAGAGAAAAUGUCGGCUUAACCUCUGUGACAAUGAAAACAGGACAGCACUGAUGAAGACAGGCCAUAGAAUGCCAAGAAGAGGAGUGUGCGACUCUUCUGCUGGAGCAUGGUGCCGACCCAAAUGUCAUGGACGUCUGUGGGAACACCACUCUCCACUACACUGUCUUUUGCCAGAAUAUAUCACUCGCAGCAAAGCUGCUUUCCUGAGACACCAAUAUAGAAGCCAGGAACAAGUGGAUGAGAGUUCUGAAGAGGACUCUUCAAGGAGGUAGGAUUUUAUGGAUGUUUUAAAUUAUAUGUUUAAGGGAACAUGGAGAAGAGAAACUAAUAGUUCUACUCUGGGUGUUCUACUCUGGGUUAGACACUGCAUUAUGUGUUUAACAUUUGUGACCUCAUAGAGUCACCACAGCAGCUUUGUAAAGUAGCUGUGUCCUACUUUUACUUAAUUAGGCAACUGUGGUUUCAGGAGGUUAAUGAAUUGACCCUGGUUAAAAUGAG